AGCGGKUUCACGACUGAUCCGAGGUCAGACAGACAGACAGACAGACAGGCCGACGGACAGGCACACAACCACCCACCCGGCAGUGCAGCAGUGCCGCAGCGUCGCACUGCACUCAACCAUCACAGCCCAGUUUGCGUGCGCAACGCGCCCAAAUUACACGCACACAGGGCCACGCCUUGUGAACUGCGGCCGGCUGGCCGGCUGCCUGACUGACUGACUCACUCACUCACUCACUCACUGCCUGYCAAUGGCUCCACCACCGCMAACAACAGCGCAUCAACCUGCAACCCAAAGMGGCAAGCACGCAAGCGAGGGAAGCUGGGCGAAGCACAGCACAGCACAGCACAGCACAGCGCAGCGCAGCAAACGCCCUGACGGCCCUACCGCGCGCAACACAAGACACGCACCGCGCCUUACCUUGGAGAGAAGCUACACCACCACCAGCGGAACAGCGAUCUCCCAAGCCACUGCCUAUUACGCACAGCGAUACUUCAUAAGCCGACGCUCGGACAGAC
rnacentral:rRNA from 1 species